rnacentral:rRNA from 1 species
AUGGCGGCGUCGCUCUCCAAAACCCUCGGCCUCCGGCUGCGCGGCAGCGGCGGCCACCGCCUCUUCCCCUCCCGGCCCUCCACUUCCCACGCGCCCCAGCCACCACUUCCGCCCGCCGCCGCCCCGCCGCCCCCAGGAGCAGGGAAGGAGGCGGGCGCGUGGUCGAAGCUCUUCCUCUUCGCCCCCGGCGCCAUCACCUUCGGCCUCGGCACAUGGCAGCUCUUCCGGCGGCAGGAGAAGGUAGAGAUGCUGGAGUACAGGACGCGGAGGCUGGAGAUGGAGCCCGUGGCGUGGAACGAGACCGUCUCCUCUGCUGUCUCGCGUGAUCCGGCUGUGCUGGAGUUCCGGAAGAUCGUGUGUGAGGGCGAUUUCGACACGGAGAAGUCGGUCUUCGUCGGGCCUCGCUCCCGGAGCAUCUCCGGUGUGACCGAAAAUGGGUAUUAUGUGAUCACUCCGUUGAUACCUCGGUCGACUGAGCCUGGCAGUUUGCAGUCACCCAUCCUUGUGAAUAGAGGGUGGAUUCCUCGUGCUUGGCGUGAUAAAAACAUGCAGGAUCACCAGGACCUUGGUGAAACUUUAGAUGUGAACGAAGCUGAUAAAAAGACAGAUGAAAGAGGUACUUGGUGGAAAUUUUGGUCUAAGAAGCCUGAAUCUUCUCCAGAGAUUGAAAAACCUGUAAAGCCUCCUGUAAGAGUUAUUGGAGUAAUCCGAGGAAGUGAGAAGCCCAGCAUAUUUGUUCCACCUAAUGAACCCAGUAAUGGCCAGUGGUUUUACGUGGAUGUUCCCAUGAUUGCACGUGCAUGUGGCCUCCCUGAGAACACUGUCUAUAUAGAAGAUAUGAAUGAAGACAUCUCUGCAAGUAAUCCUUAUCCUCUUCCAAAAGAUGCCAAUGCUUUGAUUCAUCACUCAGUGAUGCCAGAUGACCAUCUGAAAUACACCUUUACAUGGUACACUCUUUCUGCUGCUGUGACUUACAUGGCCGCAAAGCGGAUAAAGGCAAAGAAGGUGAGGCUAUAG